AAUGAACAGGGAAGAGCUCAGGCUGGAAACCGAUACAUCUGUGUCGGGCAUGUAGCCUGCAGGCAUAGCUGCUAUCGGCGGCUCGAGCGCAAGCCUCUUGGAAUAGAGCGUGUGCCCGGGUGAGAAUCCUGCAGUUUCGCUCGAUGUCCGCGGUCCACAGUGCUUGUUCUGAGAGUCACGCUCCUCGGAUUUGGAAUGUAAAUCAGAUGGUAAGUUUCAUCCAAAGCUAAAUAGAAGCUCGAGACCAAUAGCAAACAAGUACCAUGAGGGAAAGAUGAAAAGGACUUUGGAAAGAGAGUUAAAAGUGUUUGAUUGAAAUUGMUGAGAGCGAAGCGAAUGGAGCCACAUGUCGUGACUGAGAUUGCUGUCGGGUCUCUGUGAGCCUUGAGCAUGUAAGCGCAAGCUGACUACUGCUUAUGCGUGAGCAUUUGUCCGCAGUGUUUCUCAGCAUGCGGGUCAUUAGCCACAUUUGUUUGAGGAUGGUCUUCAGCUCACAUGGUACAUCUUGUUAGUGUGCCUCUGUGCGGUGUGGGACUCAGUCAGGUGUGGAUUGUUGACCCAAUGGUUUUUUUCGACCCGUCUUGAAACAC
rnacentral:rRNA from 1 species